UCUUAAAACAUGUCUUAAUUAAUUUGAAAGGAUAGUUUAUAAAAUUUCAAAAUUAUAGGUCUAUUACAUAUAUAUGACAUCACAUUAAAAGUUGAUGCGUUAUCAAGUAUACAACUUCCGUUAAAAAAAAAUCACAACAAACCCCCAUGCCAACAAAUUCACUGUUAUUAGGUCUAUCAUAUCUACCCGUCCAUGCACGGAUUAAUGUCUAGUUGGUAAUAAAAACAUUGUUACAUAUGUUUUCAUUGUUUAUAUAUAUCUACUUCAUGAUAAAACAAAAACGAUAAUAAAAUUCAAUCUUAGAUCCGCUCGCAAACUCUAGAUCAGUCAUCGGAUAUUGCAAUGCAUUGUGGUUUGAUAUGCGAGAAAAAGUGCGAUUGUAUUCAACCAAUGAAAUUUCUACAAUGAACCAAUGAGAUUCUUGAUAUUUAGCAACCCAUAUACAUAGGAGUUGGUUUCCAUGUAAGUUCACUCGCUUAAUUACUUGUGAAUUGCAUGUGAGGAGACUGAAUAGAAGAAAGCAAUCAUGUCUGAAAGGAAAGCUGUCAUCAAGAAUGCUGACAUGUCCGAGGACAUGCAGCAGGAUGCCGUUGACUGUGCAACCACAGCGUUGGAAAAAUACAACAUUGAAAAAGAUAUUGCCGCUUACAUCAAGAAAGAAUUCGACAAAAAGUACAACCCAACGUGGCAUUGCAUUGUUGGGAGGAACUUCGGUAGCUACGUAACCCACGAGACCAAGCACUUCAUCUAUUUCUAUUUGGGACAAGUUGCCAUCCUCCUCUUCAAAUCUGGUUAAGUUGAGAACCAUCUAUAAUAAAUUUUCAUUGGGGGAAAGGAGACUGAACAACUGAACAGUGCAGUGUUGGCUGAACUUUGACAUGUACUGGAGAUUACUUUUUGCAGAUUGUUUACAAGACUUAUCUGACUUUUUUGAAGGUUGCAUCCAUUUGUAGUUAAGUUGUUAACUAAUUUAUUUUCUAUUAAAACUAUAAAAAGGUAGUGAAAAUCGUUUUGAAAUGCAUUGUACUUGGUACUAUUCAUACAGUAGUAGUGAAUAAGUAUCGCAAGUUCAAUAAAUAUUUACACUUGUUAUUGUUACUACAUAAAAUAUUGUAAAUGAA